GAUUAACGCUGGCGGCGUGCAUAACACAUGCAAGUCGAACGAUGAAACUUUAAUGAACCCUUCGGGGAGAAUUAAAGCGGAUUAGUGGCGAACGGGUGAGUAACGCGUGAGUAACCUGCCUUACACAAGGGGAUAGCCUUUGGAAACGAAGAAUAAUACCCUAUAAAACCAUAAAAGCACAUGCAAUUAUGGUCAAAGUGAUAGCGGUGUAAGAUGGACUUGCGUCUGAUUAGCUAGUUGGCGAGAUAAAAGCCCACCAAGGCAACGAUCAGUAGCCGGCUUGAGAGAGUGUACGGCCACAUUGGGACUGAGACACGGCCCAGACUCCUACGGGAGGCAGCAGUGGGGAAUUUUGCACAAUGGGGGAAACCCUGAUGCAGCGACGCCGCGUGAUUUAGAAGGCCUUCGGGUUGUAAAAAUCUUUUGUAUAGGAAGAAAAUGACAGUACUAUACGAAUAAGGUCCGGCUAAUUACGUG
rnacentral:rRNA from 1 species